UGCCAUGGCUCUGAAACACAGACCACCUAU
rnacentral:piRNA from 1 species